rnacentral:rRNA from 1 species
UACGGGAGGCGGCAGUGAGGAAUAUUGGUCAAUGGGCGAAAGCCUGAACCAGCCAUGCCGCGUGCAGGAUGACAGUCCUACGGAUUGUAAACUGCUCUUCUGCAAGAAGAAACCUAUUGACGUGUCAGUAGUUGACGGUACUGCAGGAAUAAGCAUCGGCUAACUCCGUGCCAGCAGCCGCGGUAAUACGGAGGAUGCAAGCGUUAUCCGGAUUCAUUGGGUUUAAAGGGUGCGCAGGCGGGAUAAUAAGUCAGAGGUGAAAGCCUACAGCUUAACUGUAGAAUUGCCUUUGAUACUGUUGUCCUUGAGUUCAGUUGAGGAGGGCGGAAUGUGUAAUGUAGCGGUGAAAUGCAUAGAUAUUACACAGAACACCGAUUGCGAAGGCAGCUCUCUAAACUGAGACUGACGCUGAGGCACGAAAGCGUGGGGAGCGGAACAGGAUUAGAUACCCUGGUAGUCCACGCUGUAAACUAUGAUCACUCGUUGUUGGCGAUACACUGUCAGCGACUUAGCGAAAGCGUUAGUGAUCCACCUGGGGGAGUACGAUCGCAAGGUUGAAACUCAAAGGAAUGACGGGGCCCGCACAGCGGUGGAACAUG